AACGAACGCUGGCGGCAUGCCUAACACAUGCAAGUCGAACGAGACCUUCGGGUCUAGUGGCGCACGGGUGCGUAUCGCGUGGGAAUCUGCCCUUCGGUUGGGAAUAACUGAGAGAAAUUUCAGCUAAUACCUUAUAAUGUCUUCGGACCAAAGAUUUAUCGCCGAGGGAUGAGCCCGCGUAGGAUUAGGUAGUUGGUGGGGUAAUGGCCUACCAAGCCGACGAUCCUUAGCUGGUCUGAGAGGAUGAUCAGCCACACUGGGACUGAGACACGGCCCAGACUCCUACGGGAGGCAGCAGUGGGGAAUAUUGGACAAUGGGCGAAAGCCUGAUCCAGCAAUGCCGCGUGAGUGAUGAAGGCCUUAGGGUUGUAAAGCUCUUUUACCCGGGAUGAUAAUGACAGUACCGGGAGAAUAAGCGCCGGCUAACUCCGUG
rnacentral:rRNA from 1 species